CGCGGCCUAUCAGCUUGUUGGUGGGGUAAUGGCCUACCAAGGCGACGACGGGUAGCCGGCCUGAGAGGGCGACCGGCCACACUGGGACUGAGACACGGCCCAGACUCCUACGGGAGGCAGCAGUGGGGAAUAUUGCACAAUGGGCGGAAGCCCGAUGCAGCGACGCCGCGUGAGGGAUGACGGCCUUCGGGUUGUAAACCUCUUUCAGCAGGGACGAAGCGCAAGUGACGGUACCUGCAGAAGAAGCGCCGGCCAACUACGUGCCAGCAGCCGCGGUAAGACGUAGGGCGCGAGCGUUGUCCGGAUUUAUUGGGCGUAAAGAGCUCGUAGGCGGCUUGUCGCGUCGACUGUGAAAACCCGUGGCUCAACUGCGGGCCUGCAGUCGAUACGGGCAGGCUAGAGUUCGGUAGGGGAGACUGGAAUUCCUGGUGUAGCGGUGAAAUGCGCAGAUAUCAGGAGGAACACCGGUGGCGAAGGCGGGUCUCUGGGCCGAUACUGACGCUGAGGAGCGAAAGCGUGGGGAGCGAACAGGAUUAGAUACCCUGGUAGUCCACGCUGUAAACGUUGGGCGCUAGGUGUGGGGGGCCUCUCCGGUUCUCUGUGCCGCAGCUAACGCAUUAAACGCCCCGCC
rnacentral:rRNA from 1 species